rnacentral:rRNA from 1 species
AGCGAACGCUGGCGGCAGGCCUAACACAUGCAAGUCGAACGAACCUUUCGGGGUUAGUGGCGGACGGGUGAGUAACACGUGGGAACGUGCCUUUAGGUUCGGAAUAACUCAGGGAAACUUGUGCUAAUACCGAAUGUGCCCUUCGGGGGAAAGAUUAAUCGCCUUUAGAGCGGCCCGCGUCUGAUUAGCUAGUUGGUUGAGGUAAUGGCUCACCAAGGCGACGAUCAGUAGCUGGUCUGAGAGGAUGAUCAGCCACAUUGGGACUGAGACACGGCCCAAACUCCUACGGGAGGCAGCAGUGGGGAAUCUUGCGCAAUGGGCGAAAGCCUGACGCAGCCAUGCCGCGUGAAUGAUGAAGGUCUUAGGAUUGUAAAAUUCUUUCACCGGGGACGAUAAUGACGCUACCCGGAGAAGAAGCCCCGGCUAACUUCGUG